rnacentral:rRNA from 1 species
GACGAACCGUGCGAACGUUGUUCGGAAUCACUGGGCUUAAAGGGCGCGUAGGCGGGCCCGAAAGUCAGGGGUGAAAGCCCCCAGCUCAACUGGGGAAGUGCCUCUGAUACUUCGGGCCUCGAGGGAGGUAGGGGCGUGUGGAACUUCCGGUGGAGCGGUGAAAUGCGUAGAGAUCGGAAGGAACGCCGGUGGCGAAAGCGGCGCGCUGGACCUCUUCUGACGCUGAGGCGCGAAAGCCAGGGGAGCAAACGGG